AUCUGACAAAGGCAAACUUCAACGAAAGGGAAGGACGCAAAGCCGUGAACCUAAACACUCUUAAAUGUGUAUGGUUGUCUGGUUACCAGG
rnacentral:ncRNA from 1 species